rnacentral:rRNA from 1 species
UAUGACCAUAUCACGUUGAAACACCGGUUCCCGUACGAUCACCGAAGUUAAGCAACGUCGAGCCUGGUCAGUACCUAGAUGGGUGACCGCUUGUGAACACCAACUGCCGUAAG